rnacentral:rRNA from 1 species
GUAGGGAAUAUUGGACAAUGGGGGCAACCCUGAUCCAGCCAUGCCGCGUGAGUGAAGAAGGCCCUCGGGUUGUAAAGCUCUUUUGUCCGGAAAGAAAAGCAUUCGGUGAAUACCCGGAUGUUCUGACGGUACCGGAAGAAUAAGCACCGGCUAACUUCGUGCCAGCAGCCGCGGUAAUACGAAGGGUGCAAGCGUUACUCGGAAUUACUGGGCGUAAAGCGUGCGUAGGUGGUUGUUUAAGUCUGAUGUGAAAGCCCUGGGCUCAACCUGGGAAUGGCAUUGGAAACUGGGCAGCUAGAGUGCGGUAGAGGGCAGUGGAAUUCCCGGUGUAGCAGUGAAAUGCGUAGAGAUCGGGAGAAACAUCUGUGGCGAAGGCGACUGCCUGGACCAGCACUGACACUGAGGCACGAAAGCGUGGGGAGCAAACA